GGAUAUUGAUGAAUAUGAACUACUCAGGUUUUCAAAGGGUUUUCGCUGGAAAUGUCGCGACAUUUUUUCUCGACUAUAAGUGGUUGAGGUGUACCUCACACAAUUAUUUAUAUACGCAAUUGAAACAAAUUUUAUGCAUGGGAAAUUAUUUAAAGGUUUUUGGUGUCGUUCAACAUAUGAAUAUGAUUAUGUGUUGAUUAAUUUAACGCGGCGCGUAAAACAUGGAAAACUCUUUGCUCUGUAGUCAGUUGAAGAACCAUUUUUAAUCGAAGUGACGGGGCUAAUUUCUAAGUCGUUUUAACUUUAACUAAAAUUUUCAUGUACUAUUUAAAUAUGCAGUUUUAACAUGCAUGUUUGUACAAUUACAAUGGCAAUGCAUUCUAAGGCCCCAUUUACACUAUACCGGAUUGCUAUCGGAGUGGGUCAAAUUUUGUAGGUAUUGAAAGGCUGUGAAGAUUUUUAAUCUCAGAGACCCAAAUAAACAUGCCAAUUCUGUCAAACUAAUAAGCAUUUGCUACUAACCAUUGCUCCUUAACUGCAGAAGAUGAUGUCGUGACGAGCGAAUCCGGUAUAGUGUAAACGGAAGCCUAAACUCCCACAGCCACAGGUAAUGAAGUACAGAGUGUUUACAACAAAAGGGUGAAUUCUAUAAAGCUUCACUUUCUUGAGACACCCUGUAGAACUUGCCAUCUAUUUUACAUUUUGGGAUAACUCACAUGAAGAAGUACUUAUUUACGUUCAAUUUUGCAUGAAAUGUUUUUCGAGUUCUU